CUUUGUAGAACAGAACAGGGUUGGGAUAUGAAAGUGAAUGGUUCAUGGAGAUUUGAAAGGGAAUGGCUCAUGCGGAUAUGAUAACUCACUUGUCUGAGGAGUUGAUUUUGAGGAUAUUAUCAUUGCUGCCUGCCAAAGAUGUCGUAGUCACAAUGGUUUUGUCUAAACGAUGGAAGUGUAUUGUGGUGUUGGUGCCAAGACUUGAAUAUGAUUAUGCUAUGUACCAAUACCUUGGUGUAGGCAGUAGGUUCUUGCGGUUUGUUUACAGCUCUUUGCUGUUACACGAGGCUCCAGUUCUAGAGAGUCUUUGUUUGAAACUUUAUCGAAAGUCUGGUGUUUUAGAUAUUGGAGUAUGGGUUUAAAACUGCUGUUAAACACCGUGUGCGUGAGUUGGAUGUCAAUAUGAAUAGUCCUUUCGUUUCAACACCGGUCGUACUUCCAUGGAGCAUAUAUACCAGGAGAUGUAAAAUGCUUGUUACCUUGAAACUAAGCAACAUGACUCUUGUGGAUGCUUUUACCUUGAAACUAAGCAACACUUCCAUGCGCCACAUAAGGCACAUCCUUAUUCAAAAGAAGAAGCACG
rnacentral:lncRNA from 1 species